AGUGAACGCUGGCGGUAGGCCUAACACAUGCAAGUCGAACGGCAGCACAGUAAGAGCUUGCUCUUACGGGUGGCGAGUGGCGGACGGGUGAGGAAUACAUCGGAAUCUACUUUUUCGUGGGGGAUAACGUAGGGAAACUUACGCUAAUACCGCAUACGACCUACGGGUGAAAGCAGGGGAUCUUCGGACCUUGCGCGAUUGAAUGAGCCGAUGUCGGAUUAGCUAGUUGGCGGGGUAAAGGCCCACCAAGGCGACGAUCCGUAGCUGGUCUGAGAGGAUGAUCAGCCACACUGGAACUGAGACACGGUCUAGACUCCUACGGGAGGCAGCAGUGGGGAAUAUUGGACAAUGGGCGCAAGCCUGAUCCAGCCAUACCGCGUGGGUGAAGAAGGCCUUCGGGUUGUAAAGCCCUUUUGUUGGGAAAGAAAAGCAGCAGGUUAAUACCCCGCUGUUCUGACGGUACCCAAAGAAUAAGCACCGGCUAACUUCG
rnacentral:rRNA from 1 species